CACCGGAUCCCAUCAGAACUCCGAAGUUAAGCGUGCUUGGGCGAGAGUAGCACUAGGAUGGGUGACCUCCUGGGAAGUCCUCGUGUUGCACCCCU
rnacentral:rRNA from 1 species